AAUGGACACAUUAUGUAUCAUCCGAGUGAAGCAACGGCAAACCAAGAAACGAGAUGCAUAGGAGUAGUUUACUGUUGGAAGCUGUACGAGGCGAUGACAGUUGACAUCCAUCGUGACGUCGCUUACAUUGUGACGUAA